AUUGCACGCUGGCGGCAGGCCUAACACAUGCAAGUCGACCGAGUGGCUGACGGGUGAGUAAUGUCUGGGACACUGCCUGAUGGAGGGGGAUAACUACUGGAAACGGUAGCUCAUACCGCAUACCAUCCGAUCUGCCCAGAUGAGAUUAGCUUGUUUGUGGGGUAACGGCGCACCAAGGCGACGAUCCCUAGCUGGAAUGAGAGGAUGACGAGCCACACUGAAACUGAGAAACGGUGCAGACUCCUACGGGAGGCAGCAGGGGGGAAUAAUGAACAAUGGGCGAGAGCCAGAUGCAUCGAUGCCGCGGGGGGGAGUAGGGACGUAGGGUUGUAAAAUACUUACAGCGGUUAGGCGUUACACGUAGAAGAAGCACCGGCUAAUGCCGUGCCAGCCGCCGCGGUAAUAC
rnacentral:rRNA from 1 species